rnacentral:rRNA from 1 species
AUUGAACGCUGGCGGCAGGCCUAACACAUGCAAGUCGAACGGUAACAGGAAACAGCUUGCUGUUUCGCUGACGAGUGGCGGACGGGUGAGUAAUGUCUGGGAAACUGCCUGAUGGAGGGGGAUAACUACUGGAAACGGUAGCUAAUACCGCAUAACGUCGCAAGACCAAAGAGGGGGACCCUCGGGCCUCUUGCCAUCGGAUGUGCCCAGAUGGGAUUAGCUUGUUGGUGGGGUAACGGCUCACCAAGGCGACGAUCCCUAGCUGGUCUGAGAGGAUGACCAGCCACACUGGAACUGAGACACGGUCCAGACUCCUACGGGAGGCAGCAGUGGGGAAUAUUGCACAAUGGGCGCAAGCCUGAUGCAGCCAUGCCGCGUGUAUGAAGAAGGCCUUCGGGUUGUAAAGUACUUUCAGCGGGGAGGAAGGGAGUAAAGUUAAUACCUUUGCUCAUUGACGUUACCCGCAGAAGAAGCACCGGCUAACUCCGUGCCAGCAGCCGCGGUAAUACGGAGGGUGCAAGCGUUAAUCGGAAUUACUGGGCGUAAAGCGCACGCAGGCGGUUUGUUAAGUCAGAUGUGAAAUCCCCGGGCUCAACCUGGGAACUGCAUCUGAUACUGGCAAGCUUGAGUCUCGUAGAGGGGGGUAGAAUUCCAGGUGUAGCGGUGAAAUGCGUAGAGAUCUGGAGGAAUACCG